GUUGUUGUGGUGUAGUGGUUAUCACGUUAGUCUUACACACGGAAGGUUUCUAGUUCAAUCCUAGGCAACAACA
rfam:Ipomoea nil DNA, scaffold: scaffold1074, cultivar: Tokyo-kokei standard.